rnacentral:lncRNA from 1 species
UUAGCUACCACCUCCAUGGUUUUGCAGUUUCUCACUUUAGUACCCUAUGGUUUAAAGUGUAUCAAAUUAGUGUCAUGUGGUUUUAUUUUUUUUUCGUCAGCUUUUCUGAUAAUAUUUUGUUAAAUUAUAUGCAAAAAAAACUUCAGAUAUCCCACCUAGAUUUAUUGAAUAUUCACUUCAGUAUUCUUUAGUUUUAACUUUAUCAUUGAUUUAACGAAAAAAAUUAGUAUAAUCGAUAAUAAAAAGAUAAAAAUAAAAUCAUAUAUCACUAAAUUGAUACACUUUAAACUAUAGGGUACUAAAGUGAGAAAAUGUGGUAUUUGAAGUUUUUCCUAAAAAUAUCGUGAGCCAAAGAUGCUUCUCCUCACUGCUGACGUGGCACCUCCUCGUAAUUAAAAAGAAUAUACAUGCUGAUGUGGCACCACCGACAUUAAAAAAAAAAAAAAAAAAAAAAAAACGCGUUAUACUACCUCACUAGUUUUGGACAAACAAACAAAGAGAAAUAUAACUACCACAAAUAAUAAUAAUAAAAUUAAUUAACAUAUCACAUGCACGUACGUAGUAACCAGUUGGAGGAGGAUGAGUCCAUCUCGGACUUUUUUCGAAAAUAACCCUAUGAAAUUUUGUAAUUGGCAAAAUAACCCUCUGAAAAUUUUAUUUAUGAAACUAACCCUCCUCUCGCCACCUCAGCCGCCACCUCAGCAUUUCUCAUAAAGACGGUGACUCGUUCACCGUCUUUAUUGAAGACGGUAAAUGAUUCACCGUCUUCUCUAGGCGUGGACCCUUCACCGCCUUCUCAGCAAUUCCCCGCGUACCAGCGCCUUCGCAGCAAUUCGACGAGAAGACGGUGACUCGUUUACCGUCUUAACAAAGGCGGUGAAUCGUAUACCGCCUUAUCUAGGCGUACACCAUUCGCCGCCUUCUCAGUGUUGCCCCCGCCCAAAUAAGACGGUGACUUGUUCACCGUCUUUACUUAAUCUUGAAGACGGUAAGUAGUUCACCGUAUUCUCUAGGCGUGGAACCUCCACCGCCUUCUCAGCAAUUCCCCGCGUAUCACCGCCUUCUCAGCAAUUCGCCGCGGAGAAGACGGUGACUCGUUUAUCUCUUUAAGAAAGACGGUAAGUCGUUUACCGCCUUAUCUAGGCGUA